CUUUGUGUUUGUACAAGAGCCACACUGCCUGCAAGUCACCUCAGCAUGCUAUUCUACCACCUGCUCUCCGCAAAAUAAGAAGCACUUUAAUUCUGUAAUGGACUAAGUGAGGAGCUUUGGAUAAAAUGCUAUCCUCAGGUAACUCAUUGCCGCUGGAAACCAUGCCCUUAGCCCUCAGCGAGCUAAGCCAACAAGGAAAGAAGCAUUCCAGAAGUUCUACAGGUGGAUUCUUUACCACUGAACCACCAGGGAAGCUCACCUUUCAGCUUCUUAAAGCUACCAAAUACCAGUAUCAGCAGCUUCUCUGGAUUCUGGCUGAAGAAUUAUUCUUAAGACAGAAUGCUCAAAAAGGACUUGGACCUUCAAGUUCUGCAAAUGACCAACAGGGGAAAGCAUUCACCAGAGAUCCAAAACCUGUGUCAUUGAUUUGUCCUCAAUAUUUUUCCCCUGGAUGAUGCUUCUUCAUCUCAGAUAACAUGCUAGUAUUGUGGAUUAUCUUUUAUAUUCUUAUAUGUAUAUAUAGCUAUAACUAUGUACAAUAAAAAUAGAAAUGCCUUUCCCAUAUUUUCUGAAUAAGAUGGUAUAGUGAAAUAGAAAGAUGGCCAGCGCCCAGAAGGAUAUGUUCAAUUAGUAUCUCAGAAACCUAUGAAUGUGACCUUAUUUGGAGAAAGAAUCCUUGUAAUGAAAUUAGGGAUCUCAAGAUGAGGUAGAGAUCAUCCUGGAUUAUCCACGUGGGCCCUAAAUCCAAUGACAAGUGUCCUUAGAAAAGAUACACGGAAGAGAGACACACAGAAAGAGGAAGAGAAGCUAAUGUGGAGACAGAGGCAGAGGUUGGACUUAAGCAACCACAAGCAAAGGAGUUCCUGGAGCCUCUAAGAUGCUGGAAGAAGCAAGGAAAGAUGUUCCCAUAGAGCCUUCAAGGAAAGUGCAGCCCUGUGGGUCUUUGAUUUUAUUUAUCUUAUUUGUAUCUUGGGCCUUUGAUUUUAGACUUCUAACUCCAGACCUGUGUUAGAAUACGUUUUGUUACUUUAAGACACAAAGAUUGUGGUGAUUUGUUAUGUUACCGCCAAGAAAUAGGAUAUUAUUUUGGUACAUUAUUUGGUACAGGAGAAGACAGUCUGAAUUGUAGCAGAACCUCUGAGUCUAUAAUAUUAGAACCACCCAGAUCUGUGUGAACAUUUCCAAGUGCAAAUUGACUAUGUUCCACACCACUGCCUUCGCAGAUUACAGAAGAAAGUUAGGAACAUCUGAUGAAACUCCUUGUUUAUAAAUAGUAGACUUUGCAUGUCUCUGUAUUGUACCCCCACCCCAAAACACACGUAUACUACUUACCAGAGAAGU